rnacentral:tRNA from 1 species
GCCUGUGUGGCUCAGUUGGUUGAGCGACUGUCUUCCACUCAGGUCAUGAUCCUGGAGUCCCGGGAUCGAGUCCCGCAUCGGGCU